CCUCGUCCAGUCAUUGAACGAUUUACAUUCAUUGAACCCCUGUAGAAACAAAUCAAAUGAUUUAAUGAAUCAUAAUAGAAGUGGUUCCAACUAGUAUACAUGUGAAACGACUUAAAAUUGAUAGAGAAUCAGAUUGAAAAUCGUUGAAUUAUUCAAGGUCGAUAAAUGAACUCAAUUGAGUAGUCAAGGAAUCGAGAAAAGAAAUUAUUGGAAUAAUUCCCGAAUCAAGAUGAGAACUUACAGGAAAAAGGAUUUCGAAUCGAUCGAAGAUUGCAAUAGCUCAAAAAUCAACAAUUCUCGGAAAUCAAAUUAGUUCACAAGAUAGGCGACAAUAAAUAUAUAUUGAAUUUAAACGACGAGUAAUAACAAUAAUAAACCGAACGAUACGAUUGCUCGGCAUAUAUCCAGUUUCCCAGAAAUAAUAGGCAAGGGAUAGGGAUCCUCACCUGAAGUCCAGUGCAAGGUGCUAUAAAUAAAUAUCCUUACGCUCAAGCCAUGCUCAAGCCUUGAGUGAGAGCUUUAGUACGGUCGAUACCUAUAAAAAUAUUCAUCACUUAACAAGAUUCUAAUAUAACCGUAUUAUUCCACUAUAUCACUUAGUCAAUUUCUUGAAACAUUUAUUAAGAAUUUCUUGUCGGGCUAAUUCUAACAAUCACUACGAUCACCAUACUUAUCCGAAUACCCUAAACUAUAUAUCAAAUUAAAGAUAACAACUUCAUCUACAAGUUCACUUUAGAAACCAACCCCAAAUUAUCGACCUAACACAGCAGUAACAGCCCCGGAAGAUAAUUGCAUGAAACUGCUAGGUUUUGUUUGAACAAAUGCAUUUGCUGGCAUUGUUUAUUUGAAAAAUCAUAAAAAUUUGUAGAGUUAUCCAAAUUGUCCAAAUAAUACACCAAAUUGAACCUUACAAUGUAAACUACAAGUUCUCAGAAGACACACAGCCCAAAUUAUUAGCUCAACAUAGCAAAAACGGCCUCGUAAGAAGAAUAUUCAAAACUGCCCUGUUUUUACAGAUUUAAAGUCACUUAAUUCGGACCACUAAUCAGCUUCAAAACAUACUCUAACUCGAUACAAUUUUACACUUACCAAUAUUUUUCGAGGUCCUCUACGAGUUUCGUCAAGGAAUGAUUCCCAAAUUCGCACUCCAAACCCUCCAAAUUCUGCUCCGAAAACAGGUGCGGCAGCAGGGUUUCUUUCCCUAAAGUUCCGGUGCGCAGCUGGGAUUCUCGCCAAAUUCCGGCGACCACCGCCGAUGAAUACCACCGAGAACAAUUACUGAAACAGAAUAUACCGAAAUGGAUAUUCUUUUUUGCUGAUUGAUGGAGGCAAUGUAAUGAUUUAUUCGAUUUUUCUGUGCUUUUUUUUCAGUUUUUGAUCAAGCUUAUAAAAACCGAGCAUCAAAAUAUUCCAACAUUUUACGAUUUCGAGUACAGAGACAUGAAAACUAGUAAAGCACAUGCUCAUGAAAAUGGCAGCUAACCUUAAUAGCCGAUGCUUGAUCCAUCGUCAAUUCAUCACAGUUUAAGCUCCUGCAAAUUAGUUAAACCAGACAUGAGAUUAAUCCAUGCAAGAAAAAACCGAAAUGACUUGUUAAAGAAACGACUUUUCGAACCAAUUGAAAAAAUGUUUUUGCACUCCAAAGUUGGAGUCUGGUUCCAGUAUUUUAUCAAACACCUUGUAUACACCCUGCACCUAUGGAAGGAUGAAUUCUCAAGGUUUCUAACCGUGGGUCCUGGUCGUCGAGAUUCACCCUCUAAGGCCUCCGUUCAAUUAAUUCUUUAAAGAGCCAAACGCUGGAAUUCGAUUUCUGGACAGCUAGUCGUCCUCUUCGCCCGAUUCCGGCGACCGUCUGAUGUAACCACCGCUGGAGGCCACCACCACUGGAAAGCUGACUUCCCAACGAUGUGACUUGAUCGUCAUAACCCCUCGUUCACACAGCCCUAAUUUUGUCGAUAAUUGAAUUGGGGAUUUGCAAUUCCAACCUCAAAUUUGUUUCAUAUACCUCACUUCUUCAAACCCCUUCUUGAAUUCGAAUUUUCUCCAAUUAAUUUCUGGAAUUUCAGCCAAGAACCGAGAGGGAGAAGGAGAGAGUAGGCGAGAGAGAAAGAGAGCGAUGAAGAAACGAAAGAAAGAUAUGGCUGUAUUUUUUCAUUAUUUGCAUUUUCG
rnacentral:lncRNA from 1 species